GAACUUAAAUAAGAUUUGGACAUUUAUUUUUAGCCCAAUGUUAAAGCCCAAAUUUGAAGCCUAACCUCCCUUACCUUUCACUAACCCAAAGCCCAUAACCCCUUCAGAUUUUAUAGGAGAGAGAACCCAUCAGACCUUUCCUCUCGAUCAAGAAACACAAGACCUAAAACCCUAGAACCCCAAAACCCUAGAGAGAACCGCCACCGUCCCCAUCUCCUCACCGCUGCCGCCUCCAACCAGAUGCAAACCCGCCGGAACUCCAAAAACCACCAACCUCCGUCGCUCUUAAAACUAGCAGAAACCGCUUCCUCACCUCUCCACCAUCAACGAACUCCAGCUGCAACGACCACCAAAUCCCCGCUUAUACAACCAUCAGACUUAACGUUCAACACCCCUUCAUUUUGACACCUUCAAAAUAGGAGCCAAACUCACUCCUCGCAGGGACCACGCCGGCGGAACCCAGCCAACUCACCCCUCAUGUUCCGCUAUUGCCUCACCGGCGAGUGGCUGAAAACCGACGACCAUGCACGGAAGCACUCCUCCGCACAACCACAGAACACCUUCAUACUAUCGUCUUCAAAUCUGAUUGUUUGUCACCAUCCUACAACGCUUGUGUUUGCAAUGAUUUUUUUUCGGAUCCGAAUUUGAUCUGAGUUGAAGUAAAUUUUUUUUGCCAAGUUCAUUGAAUUUGCUUUCGGGUCAAACCUCGUUGUCGCAUUAAUUGUUCGAGUUCUUGCUGUCGAUCGAGGUAUCCAUCUAAUUUUCCGGUCCAAGCCUUGUUCCAUAGUCACGUUUCAAAGUUUGUCAAAUUCUAUUUUGAGGUCCAUUUCUUUCCCACUCCAAUUGUUCUUCUGUUUGAUAAUGCGGCGAGAAUAUGCUUUGGUUUGAUUAAGUGUUUGAUUUUAUUAUUACGGUCUAGAUGAUGAUUGAAUGAUUAAUUUUAGAUGAUGAAUUGUUUGUGCUCAAAGAAUUCUAAGGUACCGUUAGAGUGUCAUUUUUUUUUAAAAAAAGUUUGAUGUUACCAAUAAUAGAUUUAAAGGUUGUCGUGCAGUAGGAGUUGUUGGGCCUAGGGAUAAAAUAAAGUUGGACUUUAACCUAUUUCAUUGCUUUAUUUGAUUUGUGUUACAUUAUACGCUAGGAGCAUGCUUUGGCUGACCACAUUUGGGUAGACAAACCUUUAGGGCGUUCGUGUUUUAGUUUCUUUUGAGGUGAGAGGUCGCCCCUUUAGUUAAAUUUAUCCGGGAAAUGCCCCGUAGAUUUUGUAGUAUUUUAUUCUUAUUUUAUUUUUUUAGGUGGGGAUGACCUCAAGUCUCUUGUGUGUUUACUUUUAUUUUUAUGUUUUAUUUUUAUCUCAAUUCGAAUAUUUUAAAAGCCAACUAGAUUGAGUACGCAACCGUACUAGUUACGGGACUUAGGGAGUGCCUAACACCUUCUCCCCUAGUCAAAUGAACCACCUUACCCGAAUCUCUGGUGCAAACUUAAAUUGGAGUCCAAAGUGUUUUAAAAGGAAAAUCAUCUUUAAAAAUGGUGACCUGGCACACCGAAAUUAAUGUUAGGUGGCGACUCUGAGUUAUUUCCUUUUGAACACAAUAUUUUGUCACUUUCAUAAUUGAAAACCCUUUUGAGCUUUACAAAUCUUUUUAUUAAUUUUAAGAGGGUUUAGUGAAGUAGGUUUGUAAAAAAAGGGGUGUGACAUCUCUGGCGACUCUGCUGGGGAGUUGUAGGUUCGAGCUAGUACUUGAUCUUGUUGGUUUUUAGGAUAUUCAGUUGAUGUUUUUAUGUGUUUUGUUUACUUUUUAUUUUGUUUAUGUUGUUUUGCUAUUUGCUUGUUGCUUAUUUGUUUUCAGUUUUGCCUUUAUGUGUUACUGCUUUAUAAAUUGUCAUCAUUUGCAUAACCCCGUGUCUUCUUUCUGCAACAAGUCUUCCAAAGUACGUUUGAGCGUGCACGGACUUUUGUGAGUCACUCGUGUCUUUAGGGGGUGGCGUGGGAGCGUGGAGUGGGCGGACAACUAGAACAGCCAUCAUCGACCACGUGCCGCCCCGAAUUGCCUUGUCUAGUGAACCCCAAAUUUAGGUCAGCCUGUAGGUCAUUCUUAUUUGCAUCAUGUUAUUCGGACCUAGUAGGGCUCAGUGUCAGGUACCGUGUCCCUUUAUAAGAAGUCUAUCCAAAUUUUGUCAAAAAUGGGCCUAUGACCCAAAAAGACAUUCAAUCAUCCCUAUGUGAUACAUGUUGCAUCUUUGAGGGUAAAAAGGUCAUUUGGCGGGCCGAUGUUUGGGAAAGAAGGGUGAAAAAUGAAGCAAGUAGGGCCUAGUUAUAUUUUUCUUUCACAAUUUUUUCAAAAAACAAAUGAAAAUGAAGAAAUCCAAAAAGAUUUUGCACUUUCCCAUCAUUUUCCAAAAAUUCAAAAAAAGAUAAAAAGAAAAUCCAAAAAGAUUUUAAAAUUUUCAUUAUUUUUAAAAAAGACAAAAAUAUAUAUUUUUUUCCAAAUUAGUAUCAUUUUUUAAGCUUUCUCCCAUAUCCAAUCUUUUCGAACUACGCAUACCUGAUUCUCGUCUUUCAGGGCGGGAUACGUAGGCAGCCCACAUAGGGUCCGAUAUUUCUAGUGAGUCUUAGGUUCUUGGCUUCGCGAAGUCGUAACAAAAUCUUGCAUGUCCAGCCACUUUUGGCCACAUCGGUCAUUCUUGCAAAAUAGGGUCAUUUUCGCAAAAGUGGUUCAAUUACCCAUGUCUUAGGAUCUUGAGUCCACAACUAGGAGUCAUACUACUCUAAGGCACGUCCUUAUUGAGUUUGCAUCUUUAGCCACUUCCAAUCAUAUCGGUCGUUUUUGCAAAAUGGAUCAUUUCUGCAAAUUGAUUUUGGGCCAUGAUUAUUGAGAGUUGAAUCGAUAUAAGCCUUAUUGAGGUAUUUCCAUGUCUUUGAGGUCACCUUUGUUGAGUUUGUACUAAUAGGCAUCCUUGGCCACAUAGGUUGAUUUUGCAAAAGUAGUACAAUCAUGUCUUGCAUGUGUCCAAUAGGAGGUGUUGUGGUGUCGCAUAAUGUCUCAUAGUCACUGAUCUAUUUGGUCUUGUUUUUCUCAUUCAGGUGUGGAUCCAUGUACCAGGACUCGAGCAUGACGAAUAGCCUAGGACCACUGCAUUCAAGAGCUACUUGAGGAGACUUUUAAUAUUUUGUGUCUGUUUUUGAGUCUUUUAGGUGGUUUAAGAGUUUGUCUAGGCUUUUGUUAUCGUACUUCCUAUGAUGUAUUUGAAAACCAAAAAAAAAUUAUAAAAAAUUCCAAAAAUAUUUUUAUUUUUAGUUUA
rnacentral:lncRNA from 1 species